AAAGAUAAAGACAUUGACUUUCUUAAGUGAAAGCUAAAGGAGUAUCAGAAGAGUAAACAAUUGAUGAGCAAAAAAUCUCAAAAUGCUAAUGAAAAAGUCUUAGGCUUCUUACAGAGUGGAUUACCGCAUAACACUUGCAGGAGAAGCACACGCAAUUGUGGAAUCACUAAUAAAACCGUGUGUAAAAGAAAUAGUGUAAUGUACUUUAAAUGAAAAGUUGAGUAAAAAAAAUUGAAGCUGUGCCACGUUCCAACAACACAGUUUUGCAACGUUUUCAUGAUCUUGCUGAUAACAUCCAUACUGAACUAAUUUCUCAACUGCAUCAAAUUGCUG